UGGGGAAUAUUGCACAAUGGGCGCAAGCCUGAUGCAGCAACGCCGCGUGAACGAUGAAGGUCUUCGGAUCGUAAAGUUCUGUUGCAGGGGAAGAUAAUGACGGUACCCUGUGAGGAAGCCCCGGCUAACUACGUGCCAGCAGCCGCGGUAAUACGUAGGGGGCUAGCGUUAUCCGGAUUUACUGGGCGUAAAGGGUGCGUAGGUGGUCUUUCAAGUCGGUGGUUAAAGGCUACGGCUCAACCGUAGUUAGCCUCCGAAACUGGAAGACUUGAGUGCAGGAGAGGAAAGUGGAAUUCCCAGUGUAGCGGUGAAAUGCGUAGAUAUUGGGUGGAACACCAGUAGCGAAGGCGGCUUUCUGGACUGCAACUGACACUGAGGCACGAAAGCGUGGGUAGCAAACAGG
rnacentral:rRNA from 1 species